CGUAAUUUGGGAAAGGAGGGAUCCUCGCGCCGAUCUCGCCAGGUCCCCUCUGCCUGGGGCUCUCGGAGCCCGGGCUCCAGACUCCCAGAGCUCAAGGCCCGAGGCCCCGGCGAGCCGCCUCGCGUCCUGCACCCCGCGCCGCCCGCCCUGCCCAUUCAUCCGCCUUCUGCUCUGGGAGCCCCCGCGGACGCCGCAGGUGCCGCGGGUGAUUCAGCGGCUGCCUCCGGAAGGCAGUUUUCACUCAUUCACAAUUUACGCGAUUUUACCCGGAGCGCUCGAGGAAUGCUCUUACCCUGCAGAGCUGGAUGAUGCCAGCCCGAGGGAGGAGGCAGGCGAGAGUGGAGGCAAAUAAGAACACGGAGAACAGUACAAUUUGGAGUCCCGUGCACUCAUCUGCGGCUGGGUCUUCAUCUCGAGCUGCUUGUGCCGGCAGUUCAUUCGCUCACACGGCCGUCUUCACCCUGGGUUAUGGGGAAGCCGAUCCCCUCACCACGUCACCUGAUUUGUGAGUGUUACUUCCCCAGCUGUUUGAUGAUCAUCAGAGUGAUAGACUCUCCUGGAUUGUCUGGGUCAUGGUGCACCUACAAGGCUUGUCAUCAUCACAUCAGCACCUGUCGUCAUAUCACCAGCAUCACCAUCAUAUCAUCACCAUCACCUUCACCAUCAUCUCACCAUCAUCUCACCAUCAUCAUAUAACCAUCAUCAUCACCAUCAUCUCAUCGUCACCAUCAUCACCAUCAAUCACCACCAUCAUUGGUUUGACCCUUCAGCAGGUGUUUGUUGAAUUCUGUACAUAGGACUGAAUGCAGACCCUGUGGGCUAUAAAAGACCUGGUUUCUGCCCCAAGUCUGCCAGGGGUCGGCUCAGACUCAAGCGCAACAGUGAGGGAGAAUGCAGGGCACCCUGCUGCGGAGGAGGGGGAUUUCUCACGUGUCUGGGGGCCUCAGAGUCCAUAGGGAGACAAGGCUGUGGGUGUGGCUGCGUCAUGUCAGGAGCAGGGCUGGGAUCUGGGGAUUCAGCAGUAAACAGACGCGGGCGGGGAGAUGCGCACACGGCCACCCGGGUUGACACGUAGGCAAUAGCAAAUGAGGAACUCCGCAAGGUGCUACCAAACGCCAGAGAGCUGUAAAUGGGGGGGGGGUAACAAGGGGUGCAGGGCCCUGCUUUGGGUGGGGCAGCAGGGGCCCCGGUCUUUGAGAAGCCAACAGCUGAGCUAUGACCCGAACCCACAUCCUGCUCAUGGCUCCUUCACCUCCUGGAUAAAGGGUGGUCCCUUUAGGUGACUGCCCAGGCUCCCGUGACCCGGUCCUGCUGACUCCUCCAGCUCACUUCUGACCCUGACCCUGCCGCCCAGUCUCAGACGUCUCGUGCACCGGGAGCCAAGGCGCCCUGUUCUUCCAGCCCUCCGGGCCUCCGCCUCCUGUCUGGAGUGCUUUCUCUCUCUGGCUGACCUGGUGAACUCCUAAUCAUUCAUCAAGGUCCAACUUGAAGGCAGUUCUUCUGGGAGUCUGUCCCGAUUUCCCAAUGCUUGGCAAGGCGCCUUUUAUAUUGGUGUACUCUUGGAGGUAUUUUUGCACUCAACCAAAAGUAGUGAAAGCCAUGAGAAAUUUCUCCUUUCAUUUUACAAGAAGUCUGGAGGCUGGGCAGUUCUCGGAUUCAUUGGUUCAGGCACAACCAAGUCUUCCCUUGCCAUCUCAGUUGUCAGGGAUGAUUCCCCUCAUGGUUACAAAAGGGUUGCCAGAGCUCCAGGCACAGCUGCCAAUGACAGCCAGAGAAGAAGUUGUAAUCUUUCCUGCCAGUCCCUUCAGAGCAAGCUAGAACAGCCCUGCUCAGUUGCUUCUGGGUUCCUGAUCUUAGGAACUGCUGAGCCAAUAGGCACCUGUUGUCAUAGGCUGCUAAGUUUGGGAUGAUAUUCUUUCCUUUCUUUUUUUAACAUUUAUUUGAAAGGCAAAGUUACAGACAGGGAGGAAAGAGAGCAAGGUUGAAGAUGUCUUCCAUCUGCUUGUUCACUUCCCAAAUGGCCACAAUGGCCGAAGACAUGAGCCUGGAACUCCAUCCAGGUCUCAGACAUGGGUGGCAGGGGCCCAAGCACCUGGGCCAUCUCUGACUUCUUGUCCUCAUUGGUAGGGAGCUGGAUCGGAAGUGCAACAGUCAGUACUUGAACCAGUGUUCACAUAUAGAUGCCGGCAUCCCAGGCUGCGGCUUAGCCGGCUGCCCGGCAGCACCAGCCCUCCUUUGGGGUAAUUUUUAUGUGGCAGUGGCUGACUUAGCACAGCUGGCAAGCAGCAGUGGCUGCCAUGGUGCACCCCCACGGCCCCAGAAUCGCUGUCAGAGCAUCAUGUCCUUGUCUGUUCCCUCUACAGGCUUGCGAGGGCCUUGGUUUUCCACUUGCUUAAGCACAGGGGUCUCAAGCGUGUGAGCAUGCACACGCGUGCAUGUGUGUUUAUGUAUGCUUGCGAUGUGUGUGCACGUGUGCAUGUGUGUGUGUGUUCACCGAUCUGCUGGGCUCUCCCCAGCCUCCAGAGAGCGUCUUAUUGCCUCAGUAUUUCCAGAGUGCGGCACAGGGCUCGGCACGGAGAAUUGGGAAGGGAUCCAUGCAGUGAACAGGAUGCCGGGGCGGGGAAGGAUCCAUGGUUGCCAUGGCAACUGCAGCCUGGAGCGCUCAGAACAGCCCAGGCCACUUAGGGCUGGGAGGUUUCGCCGUGGUUCUAGAAAUGACUUGGGGAGGGGGGAGCAGUUUCUGCUCUGGCAGCCUCAGAAAGAGGGGGCAGAAGCAUGAGGGCCAGUGGGGGAGGUGGGCGGUGCCAGGGCUGCCCAGUGCCCUCCUGGGUACAAAGCCGCCCCCACUUCUAGGUCAUAAGCCGCAACUCCUCCAAGUCUGCCUUUUGUUUGCUGAAGACCUACUAUGUGCCUGUCUCUUGGCUAAGCAUUUUCUGCCCAGCUCUGGUCAGUAAACCCCGGAAGCGCAGGAGCUGCAUCUUUCUUGUCAAGGGCAAUGCUGGACACGUGGGAGGGGCAGGGUGCAUAUUUUGUGGGUGAGUGAAUGAAUGAAUGAAUAAGAUGAGUGAUGCACUCAGUCCUCACAUCAAAUGCAAAAGGAGGUCAGCCACGGGAAGAAUUAGACAAAGGGAGGGCGCGCAGGAUGGGAAAAAGGUUCCAGGCACAGGAAGGAGUAUAUACAAAGGUCCUGGGGUGAGACAAAGCUUGCCAUGGGAGCCCGUGCCUCCCUGGCUCCAUAGAUAGCUUUCAUUAUACCGCAGCUCUCUAGGGUAAGUCGUCUUAUCACCACCACCCUCAGUGUGAGAAGUUCUUCCUGUUCCUUCUAAAGGACUGUGGAAUACAGUGGCUUGAGUGCAGGCUGCCCAGGCUGGGCUUUGCCAUGAAACAGCUGUUUGCCAGAGGUAUUUGCCUCAGUCUCCUCACCUGACAAAUGGGGAUGACAGAGCCUCCCUCAAGUUCUGGUUUGAAUGUGUCUGCUAAAAGUUCUUGUGUUGCAGACUUUCCGCCCAGACCCAUGUGUUAGUGGUAGUAGCAGCGGGGGUUUUGGAUGGGGCCCCGAUGGUGGCGUUCGUGGGUGUAAGGAGAGGAAGAGGGACCCAGCGAGCAGCUGGCUCUGUCUCACUAUGGGAUGCUCUCUGUGAUGCAGCUGGAAGCCCUCAUCAGGUGCCAGCCCUGAAAUCCAGGGUUCCCACACUCUGGAUCUGUGAGCCACAUGCACCUGUAGCCCUUAUAAAUGACCCAGUCUUGGGAAUCUUGUUCUACAGCCGAGAACAGAUCGGGCCGCGGGGUCUGCAGUCGCUAAAUGGACUCGGUGGGGUCAAGUGCUGGGAAUGCGGGGAGCACAGGUGUCCAGGGGCACAGCCAGCCUGCGGGCAGUGAGGACAACGGCGUGGGCGCAGCAGUUCCUCCCCUGGGAGCCCUCUCUUCUGCCCAGCCCCCGCUGGUCCACGCUGACGGGGAAGGAUUUGUCCCUGGCAGGUUCCAGCAGUGAGUGACGGUCUGCUCCACUUCCAGACAAAGCCAAGCGUGGCUGCUUCAGCGGAGCGCGGAGACAAAGCGCUAUUUUAAGGCCUCUGCGGAGCACUGAGGAAGCCGAGGCUGUUCCGGGCCACAAGUCUGGGAAGUCGGGCAGCCUGUGGGGCUGGACGGGAGCACGGGGGCCCCUAGUGGACCCACAGAGGGACCAGGGAAGCCGGGGUCAGGGAGGCAGUCCGGGAUCCCCUGCAUGGGCCUCUGUAGGGGGCGAGGGAAUGUGUAGGAGCCCAUUCAGCCCAGGCUCCUGGUACAGGUGACAAAGCAGGCGGGGAGGCGGCGGGGGCGGAGCCAUCGCAAACAUUUUCUGUUUCCGCUUGUUUCCAGGAAUCACUGGAUCAGGUGGUUAAGUGAGGUAUGGCCCAUCCAUGCUGUGGUCUCCGUAGAGUUUCGAAAGGACACAAAAGAACUGUGGGACCAACUUGGCUGUUCUAAGUCUUGUUGAGAGAAAACAAAGUUGCUGACGAAUGUGCACAGAUCGUACUUGUUAAAAAACAAAAGCAAGCCAAGAUUUCCUAUUUCAGUGAGUAGAUCAAGGCCUGGAGAAAGUUCUGGAAGGAUGUUUGGCAAUUAGAGCUGGAGAGUCACCUUCCAGCGGGGCUGGGAGAGGGACAGCAUAGGCAGGGGGACCCCAACUUUAUCAGGACUGUUUGAAUUGAUAAGAGAAUCUCCAUGCGUUACUGAUGUCAUUAAAACAGAGCACGUCACAUUUUAAAAAAGAAUCACUGUUAAAAGGCUGGUUUGCCUGUGGGCUUAGAUUUGUCCCGAAAGCCUUCAUCUCCUGGGUCUCACACUCCAGGAAAGCCUGGCCUCUCCUCUCGGCAGCCCCCCACCGCCCCCAGCCCGCACCGUGCACUGGAUUUGUCAAGUACGGAAAAAAGAUGGAAAUGUGGCUGACAAGACGCCCACCCAGCUCCCUUUGUCUCAGGAAAUCCCCCAGGCCUGGGGGCAAGGCCUGUGGGGGGCACACAGGUGGUCAGGAGCAGCGGGGGCCCUGUGCUUCUGUAGAGUUUGCACCUGUCUGUCCGCUUCUUCUGUCCCCUGCUCUCCACCUUGAGCACAGCCCUUCUCGCGAGCACGCACAGCGUCACUGUUUCGCGGUGAUAAUGGAUUUGCUAUUUUUUUCAGAAUCAAUUUAUAGGAGCAUUCUCCUGGGGGACGAGGAAGAAAAGGGGGACCCUGCAAGUGGGGCCACAGUCCAUUGAACAGCCCCACCCCAUCCCCAAAGGCAGGUGCAGUCAGCGGAGGAAGAACCUUACUGACCCCGAGGCAUUUGCAGUCCUCCCUGGUAUCUGUCAUCCGAAGGGAGUUGGUGCCUCCACCCCACCCCACCCCACCCAGAUGGUGCUUAUUUAUUUGAAAGGCAGAGUGACACAGAGACGGAGGGAGGGAGGUGGGGUGCACGUUAGCAAGGAGCUGGAUCAGAAAGCAGAGCAGCCAGGACUGGAGCAGGUGCUCAGCUAUGGGUUGCUGGCAUGGUGGUGGCGGUUUAACCUGCUAUAGCACAAUGCUGACCCCAGGUCCUCUGGUGUCUUACAUAAGAUGAUUUGGGAUCCGCAUAUAACCUACACGGUUGCUCCUGUCUGCAGCCACGCCCUGCAUAGCGGCAUGUGGUCAGUGAGGGACGCAUGGAGAGUGAUGGGUCUGUGAGUGGCUGUGUUUGGGCAAGUGCGCCUCAUCGUGUUCACACAAUGGCAAAGCCACCUAGGGACACAUUGGUCACCCAUAUCAAGGCAGGCAGGACUGGACUUUCAGUGGUCUCCAGAUGAGUGACAGUGUGGAUGCCGUGUGAGUAUCUGUUACGCUGUAUUGUUUAGGGAAUGACGAUAAGAAAAAUAAGUCUAUAUGUUCUGCAGAACUGCAACAUUUUGGGAAUAUUUUUGAUCUGCAGUGGGUUGUAUCCAUGGAUACGGACCAACUGUAAAUGGAAUUGUGUGUACUCCUAAACAGUAUCGUCUUGUUGAGCUGCAGGCUGCUGUACCAUGGGUGACCGCAGUGUGAUGGGGCUGAGCCCAGCAACCCCCGGGGGUGGCUGCCUUCACGAGGGCCUCGCUCUGACUGCCUGGCUUCCUGUCCGGGCACCAACACUUGACCAGCACUGGUCUGGUGUGGUUGCACAUCAGACGCCCCAAUACUGCCUCUGUUCCUAUGGGUGCCUCAAAGUGGGUGGGGGCAGCCCAGGAGGUUCGAGCCUUGUGGGGUGGAGAGAGACAAGAGAGAAGAGGGGAACAGAGUGGAGGGGAGAGGGGAUGACUGGGACUCCUGAGUGUCCUGGGGAAGAAGUGGCAAGUGCUGACACAGGGGUCCUUGGUGGAGUGGCCUCUUCAGGGGCUCCCCAAGCAGGAGGCCUGUGGAUGUCCCAGCUAUGAUGAGAAGCUGUGUCUGGUGGUAGCUUCUGGGAAGGGGAGACACCACCUUUCAAUAGGAAGGGGCGGGGCCCGCGCUGUGGCGCAGCAGAUUAAUGCCCUGGCCUGAAGCACCGGCAUCCCAAAUGGGGGCCGGUUCUAGUCCCGGCUGCUCCUUUUCCAGUCCAACUCUCUGCUAUGGCCUGGGAAAGCAGUGGAAGAUGGUCCAAGUCCUUGGGCCCCUGCACCUGCGUGGGAGACCUGGAAGAAGCUUCUGGAUCCUGGCUUCGGAUCGGCGCAGCUCUGGCCAUUGCAACCAUCUGGGGAGUGAACCAUCAGACGGAAGACCUCUCUCUCUCUCUGCCUUUCCUCUCUCUGUGUAACUCUGACUUUCAAAUAAUAAAUAAAUAAAUCUUUAAAAAAUAAAUAAGGAGGGGCCUCUUGGCCAAAGGAAAUAGGAAACCCACUUAUCUUCCCUCUCUGUGUCCUGUGAACAUGACAGAAGGCCGCUGUUGUUUGCGACUAAGCUCCUACACUGGGUGCAACAGAUCAGACCAAAAACCAAAAUGGAGUGACUCAGGCUAAAGAUGCAUGUCACCAAGCACCUUCUGAAAAAUUGGGAGAGAGAGAAAAGCCAGAUUUGCCAAAUGGGCCAGUUUCAAGGGCGCCACGGUGGGGUUCCCUCCACCAGCCCUUACACAGAAGGGUAACUGGAAGUGAGCUGGUGCUGGUGCUAACCGGACACCUGUUUCCCUACUGUCCUGUAGCGCUGUCCCCACCCUACAAGGAAAGCCAGUUUGAAAGGACCCCGCCCCUUUUGCUCUUUGCUUCUACUUUCUUUUCUUUUAUAUUUAUUUAUUUAUUUAUUUUGACAGGCAGAGUGGAC